ACCCUUUUUGUCUGUUAGUAUGUUUCUUUUCUUUCUUUGCUAUCUUUCUUGCCCCUCCUUUCCUUUCUCUUUCUGUCAUUCAUGUAAUUUUUUAACAAAGGCAAAACAAUUAUUCUUGGCCUACAAAUAAUAUUUUAAUCUCCUUUCAGAAAAUUAGCUUAGCCAUCACUAAUUAGAACAAUGAGGUUCUAAGUCAUUGGAAUGAAAUCAAAUUUAUAGUGCCUUUCACAUAGUAAGCACUCAAUAAAUGUUUUUGCUUUUGAAUGAAACUUCAUUAAAGGCUCUAACUCUACUAUGGUGAACAUAUUGUGAGAUCAAAAUGUUGCCAAGUAGACUGUACCUGUGACUCAGUGAAGCCUAACCCAGACCGACAGAGAAAUUGAUGGAAUGUUAAUUGAUAGCAGCUGGAUGACUGGCAUGAGUGCAGCCACAGGAAAGGGCCAAGGAUCUCUCAGGGAGUAUAAAAUUUACAUUUACUAAAGACCCCAGAGGCUUUUUAAUGAGAAUGACCUCUGGUUAAAAUUAGAGUGAAGGGGAAAUAAAGAUAGUAAUUUGGGGACUUUGGGUCUUAGCAUAUUUUCCACUUAAUAGCCAGUGACUUAGAAAAUGAAACUCAUGGAAUUCUCAUAAUAGUAAUGACUUGGCCUUAAUGAUUUCAAAAGCCCCAUUAGGUGGGUUCACGACUUGUUGGUUAGCAACACUGGAAAAUAUACUAGGUGGAGAAAACAGGGAUAAGUCCUCAUAUUUAAACACUCUUAUCAGUGUCUUGGCUGGUAGAAAACAGGCUGUGUUGAUCAGGCCUUGUAGAGUAGACCGAGAGGGUUUGUUUACUCCUUGGAAUUGAGCUUGAGGUGGAUAAGAUCAGAGUUUCAGAUCACUAGCUGGGUGUACAUCUAUAAAGAUCUCCCACUAUGUGAAAAUUCCUGAGUUGAUAUCUUAAUAAAGUGACAGGGCCAAACCUUACUACAGCUUCUAAGAUAUGUUUUAGUGGAAGCCCCAGAUGAUCUCCUUUCCUCAAGAGAAAUUGGUAAUCAUCCUGUCUACUAAAUGAGGCAUUGGUUUGUUAAUAUAAAGUUGGUUGAUGCACCUAUACUGAAAUAUACUAGUUUGACUUUGGGAAUGUUUGAAAUGUUAAAUAUGGUUAGUGCCUAAAUCUAUAGUGAUGGGUUCUUUUAUUUUUUCCUCCCUGACACAUACCUUUAUUUCCUAGAGCAUUUUAAAGCAAAUUCCUGACAUUAUAGUACUUCAUCUGUAAAUGCUUUAGAAUUCUGACUACUGCUGAAAAGGGUCAAUAUUUUACACAGCUGGUCCAAUAGAGGAAGCCACAAGACAUGAACCUGCUCCAUGAUAAUGCCUCCUCACCUACUGAUGGUGGAUAUCAGAUGGUUCUGAAAUUGGAAGGGCCAUGUGAGAAUUUGGCAUGGAGCUGGCAAGAAACCACACAAAAGAAGAAUGGGACUUUUCUAAAAGGUUCAAGAAAUAUCAAACAGGAGACUGAAUCUCUUACAAUUACCUGAGAUGGAGGCACAACCACCUCUCAGCAGCCAAAGAUAGUGACUAGACAGUAGAACACUGUAUCUGGCUACUAUCAUGAAGACACCGUGUGUUCAAGACCUUGCAUCCAGCUGCAACCAUCUGAAACCUAUAGCAAGAAGGAUCGCUCCAGCAGCUGGAUGAAGUCUUUGAUAAAGGGAGGCAACAAUAGAGGCUGGAAGUCAGACAAAAAGAGGAGGCUCUGGCAGUACCUGAGGUAUGAAUUGGAUUCACACAGCAAUGGUAAGGCUGGAGAAAAGAGGUGGAAACCUUGAUAUAGUUUGAAGAUAAACUUCUAGGAUGUAGCAUCCAGGUGAAUGGAGAGGGCUGGAGAUACUUCAAGGGAGUUGUCAGCAUAGAGAUGGGACUGAAUGAGAUAUCUGAAGAGGGAAUGUAGUUAGAGGGAAGAAGAGGUCCUAGGGUUGAACUCUGGGACACCAUAGUGUUCAGAGGUUGGAAAGAGGAGGAAGAGCCACCCAAAACAAUGGAGAAGAAGUGAACAGUGAUGGAAAAGGAAGACCAAAAAGUGUGGCAUCCUGGCCAAAGCCAAGUGAAGGAAAUGUUUCAUGAAGGAGUAUAGCAUCAACCACAUCAAAUGCUGUUGAGAGAAUGAGUAGCAUGGGUCAGAUGAUUGAGGAUUAACCAUUGGAUUCAACAACAUUGCAAUUGUUGACAAUUUGGCAAGAGCUAUUUAGAAGAGUGAUGGCAAUUAAAUGAAUGAGAAAAGGGGGUGUGGAGAUAGCAGGUAGAACUAACUCUUUCUGGGAGUUUUUCAGAGAAGUGGCCUGGAGAAGGAUAUCGAUAAAGAAAUUUUUUAUUUUAUUGAGACAGAGUGCGUGCAUGUGCUUGCAAGUGCCUGAGUGGGGAGGGGCAGAGAGAGAGAGAG